UUUCAGCACUCAAAGCUUCAUUUAUUCCACUGGAGGAUCUGCACAUACAUAAACAAGUAAUUCAAGAAAUUAAGCUGCUGUCUUUCCAGCUCACAGCAGGAACAACAUCCCUGGUAUAAUUCCAGGAAGGAAGCAGAACUCAUGGAGUCAGCACAGCAGGGUUUGUCUCAGAGUCAUGUUUUACUCCCUACAUGGUGCAUUUCAUUUUGGUAUGCAUUGAGCACACUCCCUGCCUACCCCUAAAAAUUUUGUUUCUAGACUCAGCAGUAGCCCAGGAGUUGCUAACACUGAUGUGAAAAGGGCAGGCUAGCUUUUCUGUCCCUGCUCUCAAUGUUUCCUGGAUACAUCUGUUCAUCAUUUGUUGGGAAGGUCAGUAAUAUGCUUCCCCACAUGGCAUCUGGAGGGUGCUUGCCCUGCAGAAUGUCUCUUUCCUCUGAUCCUGCAAACCAAAGAUUUUGUGGGCAUUGCUGGUCAGAAACUGACUGUGGUUUACAGGAGAUCAGGAAAACUUUACUAGACAUCAAAGCCCCAGUAGCAUUUCAAAAACUACUUUAAAAGCUAAUUUUUCUACCAGUGAGUUCAGUAAGAGCCAAAUUAGGUCAACAAUAAAUGCUUUUGAAAGUCUCAUCCUUUGUGUAAAUAGUUCAGGAACAGUCAGAAGCCUUCCAAGAAGAAAUACUCUUCCCUACUAGCAAAAUAAGUUUUGAUGCAGAAAUUACCAUUGGAAUACCACUUUAAUUAGGCAUUAUUCCUUCCUUAUGAUUUCUAGCCUUUUCAUGAGAUGGCUACUCAGGAAAGGAAUGACUUGCUUCUCAUUGUUCUCUAAGAGUGUGAUAAGACACUUCCUGAAAAAUCAUUCUGGUGGUGGUGUUGAUGGGCUAUUACCCACAAAGAGUGUGACAAGGGAGGAGAAGCAUUUCAGUUCAUUAUUCCCUGGCAGGAGGUACUAGGAGUUGGGGGUGAUGAGCUGAUGAGAAGAAAUCCACAGAUUCUUGUAGUUAAUUCCUUUAGAACAUUUUAGUCACUUUCAGAGCAAGCCAACUGUUGAGCAACUGCAAUUUUCUUAAAAUUUAUAAGAAACACAGUUUAAUUCCAUCAAACACUGAAUUACAGGUCAUAAACAUUCUGGUUUGAUUCUGAUUUUUGGGACAUGUAUUACUGUUCACCAUACAUUCAAGCAGAAGCAGUGGAGUGAAUAGAAGUUGUGCAGGCACUUUCAGCUAGAGCAUAAUGUGGUUCAUACCAACUGAAAUGUCAGUUAAAGAGCAGCAGCAGACUAGGAGUCAAAGCAUAUGGAAUUAUUUGUAUGGCUGCAAAGCAGUCAGCCAGUCAGCCACAAAUACAAUUUUCACAAGUGCAUUUCCAGUUGUCAUGCUAUGAAUUAAAAACAUUGGAAUGCAGAUACCACAUGAGGAGCACUCAGCUGAUACACUGCUGAACCAGAAACAAGAUAUAUGCACUAUGUAGAAGGUAAGCUGUAAUGUUCAGCUAUCACCGUUCCCCUGAUCUCAUCACACUGAUCCCCUGCUUAGCCAAAAACCAGAUGCACAAGCAGGCCAUGCAAAAUGUCUGUUAUAAACAAAAUGCAUAUUCUUUCACAGCAUUUGGUUUUGAAGGCAGAUUGUGACUUCAAACUCUGAGACACUUAGGAAAAGUUCUCCUUGCACAGGUUGCAGAAAUCACAGAGGAAUGUCACUUGCUUUUCUCAACAUUCCUGGUAAUCACAGGCAAGUGCCUUUUUGCACUUUCCAGUGACACUUCUCUGUUAGCUGUUAUGAUGAAUCCUGGCCCUGUCUGUCCUCCUGCUUCUGCAUGGGUGAGAGCAGAUACAGGGAACUGCAGCAGUUCAGCAGGGAGCCAUAAUUUCUUACAAGGAAUGGGAAAGUCUAAGGUCUUUUCUUCCUCUUUUAACCCAUGCUGACUGCAGUUCAGACUUCAUCUUAUCUGAAUGCAUAAAGUUUGGAAAGAAUGAAAACUACUGUUGGUGGUUCCCAACUCAGGACAGCAUAUGUUAAACUGAUGACCAUUACAAACCUGCUAGGAAUAGACUGAUAUUCAGUGAGCAGUAAUGCUUGCUUGCUCAUAAAUUCACACGAAGGUUCUCUACUCUAAGAAGCUCAAAGCAUUUUCAAAGAAAAGUAAAAUUCACUAUCACCGAUUUAUAAUGGAGAAGCUGAGAUCCAGAGAGCUGUAAGUGACUUGCCCCACCUCAUCUAGUGAAGCGAUAACGGCAACAAAAAUAGAAUUCGUGAUUUCCAGACCCUCUAACCCCCCUGACUACUCACACAUUUUGCCACCCAAGACGACCAUUUGCCAUGUCAUCAUCAAGGCAUAUCUAUGUAACACACUUUUUCCAUCUAUAGAGCCUUUGCUUUUUGUAACCCUCACUUCCCUAUCUAUAGGGAAUAACAACACUUCACUACUUCAAAGGGGUGGAAAGAAUAAUUGAACUCAAGACUCUGCAGUAUGCAGAUACAGUAGUGGACACCUUGUAAGCAGCAAGGACAGUUAAUAAGAAAUAAAAUUAUUAUAUUUGGA